UCGUCAUUUCCCACACUCUCUCACCGGUCAGAGAUGCGAGAUAGUGUGUGAAAUAAAGAGA
rnacentral:pre_miRNA from 1 species